rnacentral:rRNA from 1 species
UGAACCAGUACCGUGAGGGAAAGGCGAAAAGAACCCCUGUGAGGGGAGUGAAAUAGAACCUGAAACCGUGUACGUACAAGCAGUAGGAGCACCUUCGUGGUGUGACUGCGUACCUUUUGUAUAAUGGGUCAGCGACUUAUAUUCAGUGGCAAGGUUAACCGUAUAGGGGAGCCGUAGCGAAAGCGAGUCUUAACUGGGCGCUCAGUCUCUGGAUAUAGACCCGAAACCGGGUGAUCUAGCCAUGGGCAGGUUGAAGGUUGAGUAACAUCAACUGGAGGACCGAACCGACUAAUGUUGAAAAAUUAGCGGAUGACUUGUGGCUAGGGGUGAAAGGCCAAUCAAACUCGGAGAUAGCUGGUUCUCCCCGAAAGCUAUUUAGGUAGCGCCUCGGACGAAUACUACUGGGGGUAGAGCACUGUUAAGGCUAGGGGGUCAUCCCGACUUACCAACCCUUUGCAAACUCCGAAUACCAGUAAGUACUAUCCGGGAGACACACGGCGGGUGCUAACGUCCGUCGUGGAGAGGGAAACAACCCAGACCGCCAGCUAAGGUCCCAAAGUAUUGCUAAGUGGGAAACGAUGUGGGAAGGCUCAGACAGCUAGGAUGUUGGCUUAGAAGCAGCCAUCAUUUAAAGAAAGCGUAAUAGCUCACUAGUCGAGUCGGCCUGCGCGGAAGAUGUAACGGGGCUAAGCAAUACACCGAAGCUGCGGCAAU